UACGUAGGGCGCAAGCGUUAUCCGGAAUUAUUGGGCGUAAAGAGUUCGUAGGCGGUUUGUCGCGUCGUUUGUGAAAACUCACAGCUCAACUGUGAGCCUGCAGGCGAUACGGGCAGACUUGAGUACUGCAGGGGAGACUGGAAUUCCUGGUGUAGCGGUGAAAUGCGCAGAUAUCAGGAAGAACACCGGUGGCGAAGGCGGCUCUCUGGGCCUACCUGACGCUGAGGAGCGAAAGCAUGGGGAGCGAACAGG
rnacentral:rRNA from 1 species